AUGCCAGUGUCGCCCAUGGAACCUGCUUAUCUCAGGCGGCAUCACGCCUAUGGCUGCUUCUACUGGGAGUCCACCCUGAUCAAGAGGAGAGAGUUGCUUGUACUCAACAUCCAGAGUAUGGAGUUCUCCAUUGCCGAGCUCCCAUCGGUUGGUUGGGGCACGCUAGGCGUGGCCAUUGUGGAUGCAGGGGAAGGCAGGAUUGGGUUGUUUGGUAUCCGUGAUGGAACUGCAGGUGGCAAACCUGACCUCUGCUAUACCGUUAGGCGUAACAAAGGCAAGAAUUCUGGUCAGUGGCAGAUGGUGAAGACAUUCUCGCUAGGUUCUGAUGGCCUGAAUUAUAUCAAAGCCGCAACAGAGAGGCUUCACCUCUAUUAUUUGCUGAUUGUGGCUAGAACACCUGAUAAUCCUUAG
rnacentral:rRNA from 1 species